rnacentral:rRNA from 1 species
UACGAAGGGGGCUAGCGUUGUUCGGAAUCACUGGGCGUAAAGCGCACGUAGGCGGAUGUGUCAGUCAGGGGUGAAAUCCCGGAGCUCAACUUCGGAACUGCCUUUGAUACAGCACAUCUGGAGUCCGGAAGAGGUGGGUGGAAUUCCUAGUGUAGAGGUGAAAUUCGUAGAUAUUAGGAAGAACACCGGUGGCGAAGGCAGCCCACUGGGCCGGUACUGACGCUGAGGUGCGAAAGCGUGGGGAGCAAACAGG